GAUGGCACGCACGGAGACGGUUGACUCCUGCUCGUCGAGCAAGUCUGCCUCGCCGAAGUACUCACCGUCGCCCAACAGGGCUAUCCGCAGGUUCUCGCCGUGUGAGCCUUUGCUGAUGACCUCAGCCUGACCCGAGGCCACGAUGAAGAAACGCUGUUUGUCCUUGCCCUCCUCGACGAAAAGCUUAUCCACAUCCACUUCCUUAGCUUCGAAUGAGCUUACCAGACGGUUCAGUAUCUCGUCGUCGAACUCAGAGAACAGGGGAAUAGCUUUCAGGUCCUUUGCCGUGAACGAGGGCACGCCGUUCACAUACUGGAUGGGCAAGCGGUCGUUCUUACGGAGUUCCACUUUCGUACGGUUCACGCGGAAUGUACCGCCGCUAACCUGUACCCACGGCAGGAGUUUCAGCAAUAGUCUCGGAGUGAUGCUGCCCAUCUGCGGGGCGGUCUUGGUAGUUGUCGCCAGCCUUCUGGCGGUAGCAGU
rnacentral:antisense_RNA from 1 species